GUUUGUCUGUGAAGAAGACGGUCGGCCAUUUUAGGUGCAUCAGUCGUCAUUUCACAUCGCUUCAGUAGGACGGAAAGAGAACGUCUGGACUCACUUUCAUCAAAUUUCUCUUACAACUGUAGUGGAGAAUUGCCUACUGCCUAUGAACUGAAACUCAACUAAUUCCAAAACUAAGUAGAUCCUUGUGAAGUGACGCAUAAGCCAGUAGCUUUCUAGUGUCGAUAGUUUGAAUUUUUGGGCACCUCCAUGUUAGCUAAGGGUUAGAGAGAGGAAAUGGCUGUGGAAAGCAUGACUGUCCAUCCAAACUCCCCAACUUCCAACCACGAACACAACAGUCUCCUGACUGACGAAAGGCCAGAGGAUGGCGAGCUGGAGGAGGGUGAGCUGGAGGAUGACGGCGGCGAGGUGGAGAUGGGAGGCGCGUCUGUUGAAGGAGGAGGCGCAGCGGUGGGAGAGGAAACAUGUGGCGGUGACGGCGGCGCAGCAGGGGAUGCUGGCGGCAGUGGUGGCGGCGAGCGUCCUCCUCGAAGCCGGGAGCGUCAUGCCAGCAGCAACUCGGACGAGGAACGCUCACACCGGCGCAAGCGCAAGAGGAAGAAAGAGAGGGAACGUGAGCGGGAGAAGAGGCGCGCCAAGAAGAAACGCAAGUCCAAGCACAAACGUCAUGCCUCCUCUGAUGACGACUUCUCGGACUUCAGCGACGAUUCCGACUACUCUCCCAGUGAGAAGAGGAAGUACAGAGAGUACAGCCCCCAGUACCCACCCACCUCUCAUGGCGGUUACAGCGGCCCUAAGAAGGGAGGCUACAUGAAGAUGGACAAGCAGGGCUACGGCGGCUACGACGACUACGAGGAGGACAACUACGAGGGCGAGGAGGAGCAGGACAUGGGCGGCGAGGAGUACGACGACUUCACCAAGGAGCUCCACAUGUACCGCAAGGCCAAGGAGGGGGGACGUGGAGGACGAGGGGGCCGCGGUCGCAUGAGGAACAUGAGGGGCCGUGGUGGAAUGAGGGGCGGGCGGCGAGGAGGACGAGGAGGCAGCCGAGGAAGAGGAGGACGAGGUGGAAAGAUGGGAGACGAUGAUGGUGAUGGUUAUGGGGAAGACAUGGAGUAUGAAGACGACUACGACAACAUGGGGGAAGAUGACUACGAUGACUAUCAGUACAAGAAGUCCAAAGACAGAGGAAGAGGCAGAGGCGGCCGCGGAAGAGGUCGAGGCAAAGGAGGACGAGGCAUGAUUAGAGGCAAAAUGAGAAGCCGAGGACGAGGGCGAGGGGACAUGGGCCACGACGACGACAACAACGGAGACAUGGACAAUGGGGAUGGUGGAGGGGAUGUUGGAACAGGAACUGGCAAGAGAAAUCACAAUGAGAAGUACCAGGAUAAGAAAGGAAAAGCCAUUUGCAAAUACUACAUUGAAGGCAGAUGCACCUGGGGGGACCACUGCAACUUUAGCCAUGACAUUGAGUUGCCCAAGAAGAAGGAGCUGUGCAAGUUUUACAUCACUGGCUACUGUGCUCGAGCUGACCACUGCCCUUAUAUGCAUGGUGAAUUCCCCUGCAAGCUGUUCCACACCACGGGCAACUGCGUCAAUGGUGACGAGUGCAUGUUUUCCCACGACAACCUCAACGACGACACCCAGGAGCUGCUUAACAAGAUGCUGGCUGAGGAUGCAGAGGCUGGGGCAGAGGACGAGAAGGAGGUGGAGGAGCUGAAGAAGCAGGGGAUCAACCCUCUCCCCAAACCUCCGCCCGGAGUGGGCCUACUGCCCACUCCUCCGCGCCCGGUACCGGUUGAAGCCAAUGUCGGGGCAGGGGAUUUUGGAGGCCCCGCAGCCGGUGACUUUGGGGGCGUCCCAGCUGCCAAUCAGGCACCCAUCGCCAACAAAGCUUCCCCCAGUGGGUCUGGAAUGGCUCCCUCGCCGAACUCCUGCGCUGGUGGUCCUCCUGUUCAAAAUCCAGAGGGAGCUCCUUAUGCACAAGGGCCACCCUUGAAUCCCAGUGGGCCCUCCCCUCACAUGGGCCCCCCGCCUGCUGGUGGUGGAGGGGGAGGCGGGAAGAAGAUCCCCUCCUUGUUUGAGAUCAAAGUGCAGCCAACCGGACAGCUGGCUCAUAAACUGGCUGUUAAAAGCCAGGGACCUGGUAACAACCAGGCAGCAACCGCAGCACCUGGCGCACCGGGGGCGCCCCCGACAUGCUUCCCCUCCGAGAACAUGGGGACAUUCGCGUCUGGCGAUUGCCCUCCGCACGGAGGCGCCUUGCAGCCUCAGGGCGGCGGAAACUACUUCAACACCUUCUUCAAUCAAGAUGGAACGAAGAUGGAAGGAGUGGUGGAAGAGGGUGACAACUACCAAGCAGGUGCUGGCAAGUUAAGCAGCCAGGAGGACGCCACCAACGGAGCCAGUCAGGGAGGAUUAUCCGUUUCGGACCUCCUCCCUCCUGCACAGCGCGUCCUCUUCAUGAGGAUCCAACAGAAGCAACAAGAGGAGGAGGAGCGAGCCCGCCGCAUUGAUGGCGGCACAGAGAAGAGCAGAGACACUGAGGGUGACUCUGGCAACUGGUAUUCCAGCGAGGAUGAGGACGGUGGCGGCAGCGUAACGUCCAUCCUGAAGACGCUCCGCCAGCAGACACAGGCUCCUUCAAAGUCGGAGGCGCCGAGCGACCCGCGGCUCCAGAAGGCCACAAACCCCACGGCUCGGCCCGCCGACCCGCGCCUGGCUCGCGACCCACGUCUGGCCCGCGCUGUCGAACCCGACCUGGUACCACCUGCGUCUUCAUCGGGUCCACCGGCAGACCCGCGGUUAGCCCGACUGGCUGCCGCAUCGGCUGCGUCCGCUGCCCCCAAAGCAGAGCCCCCUCUGAUCUACAAACCGCCGCCCCUCACAGCGCCGGCAGCGGAGGAAGAGGAGACGGAGCGAGUCCUGCGAGACAAGCCGGUCCCGAUCCCUCUGGACCCCCUUAUGGGAAUGGCCCUGAGGGACCCCCGCUCCCAGCUGCAGCAAUUCAGCCACAUCAAGAAGGACAUCGUUCUCCACAUGCCCGCUUUCUCAAAAACCAUAACCUGGUCUCCCGAGGACCUUCUCCCACUCCCCCUCCCCAAGCAGGACCUCCUUCCUCUCCCCCCAGGCAUUCCUCUGGUGCCCUCCCUCGACCCACGUUUGUCCCGCGUUGUCCACCCCCCCUCGCUGUCUCCUCCCGUAGCAGCUCCCCCCUCUUCGGACCCCCCAGCUCCCUCGUCAUCCUCCUCGCUCCCAGACUUUGAGCUGCUGUCUCGCAUCCUGAAGACUGUAAGCUCCAGCCCUUCCCAAUCUUCGUCCCCUCCCCUGGUGCCCACUCCUGCUCCCCCUAUGGUGCUGCUGAGUCAACCUCACUCUCUUCCACCCUCCCCCGUGGAAAAACCUGUUGAUCCCCGCAUGGCACGGAAGGGCCCCACGGACCCCCGCCUCCAGCAGAAGUCGGCCCUCAAGCAGCCAUCUGAACCUCUGCCACCCCCACCUGAAUCCUCUUCCUCUACGGGGUCCACAUCCGGAUCCCCGCCAUCCACCAUCGCCCCCUACGAUCCAAGGCUUCUCUCCUCUGGUGGGGCUGGACGCAGUGCGGCACCCAGCACACCAGGGGGCGCAAAUGUACUGAGCAGCAUCAGUCUGUAUGACCCUCGGACUAACAAACCAGGAAGCCCUGGUACCGCCGGCGGCCCUAACAACUCCCCCAACUCGGAAUCCCGACUUGGCGAGCCCUCCGCGAGCAAAACCAAACCCAAGGAGCCCUUGUUUGUCCGCAAAUCUGCGCUGGACCAACCAGAGCCAGAGAAGAGUGGGGAGCAAGGCACGGACCGAUACAACAGCUACAACAGACCACGACCCAAACCUGCGCCUUCGCCCAACUCUGCUGCCCAGGGGGGGCCUCCCGCCGGGGGUCCCCCCACUCCUGGAGCCCCGGCAGAACAGGCGCCCGCCGGCGUCCACAACCUGCCCGUGUCCACCCUCUUUGGUGUGGUAAAGCAGGCGGCCAAGCCUGGUGGGACCAGUAGUCCAUUUGGCGGGAACAGUCCAGCUCAGGCUGAGCAGCCAACCACAGAGCAGGACAAUGGGUCACUCAAGGACGUUUUCAAGGGCUUCGAUCCCACAGCCUCGCCCUUCUGCCAGUGACAGCGGUCAACUCCUGACAUGUUGUUGAUUCAGCAUGGACGCACACCAUGAGUGUGAAAGACUUUUUGGGAUGUGGGAGAGUUAAAUGUUUAUUUUAAACAGAGGAAUUGUUGUACAAGUGUGGACAGAACAGACAGCGUUUUAGCAUUCACUCAUUACCUCACCCAUCUCACCUCCAACCAACGCAUAGAAUACUGUUGGAAUAUUCAUUUUCAUGAUUUGUGUUAUGUUAUGAUUAACUCAGCAGCACCACUGCCUGUUUGUUUCCUUUUUUGAAUAUUUAUUUUUCUACUACCAUGCACUGUCCCGCCAGGGAGGGUCCAGUUUUUAAUGUCUGUCACCUUAGCAGUUUCAUUAAGGUAGUCCCUUCUUCUUGCUACCCUCCACUACUGUUGCUCCUUUUGCUGAGGAAGAGAAAUCAGUAGUUUCAGAGUGGGAGUGUCCAUGUUGCGUCUCUUGGCGUUCUUGAUGGCGGCGUGACAAUCACAAACCUUUUACCGCUGCUCAUCAUUGAGAAUUCGAUGAAGUUCUCUCCGGAGAUAGGAGCUUUGAGACCAUCUCCAUCAGACAGGACCCUCUUUUGUAAACAAUGUUUCUUUUAAUUUAUUUUUAUACUUAAAAUUUACUUCUACAUACUCAGCAUUUGUUGUUUUAUCACAGUUUUUUUUUUUUUUUUUUUAUCAGUUUCUGUCAUUCAAUGCACAAUUUCUUUCCCCUUUUGGGCUUUGUAAAUCUGCUUUUUUUUUUUUUUUUGUGCAAUAACCACAAUAUCCAUUUGAGCCGCAUCUUGUCUAUUAUAAUGGAGGGGUGGACUUUUCUAACUGUACACUAUAGGCACCUUUGAGGGUCUGUGUUCCUGCCGGCGGCGUGCGGCCAACUUCCCAUUCUCACUCCAAUCCCUCGCUGUUGCUUCCUGUUCGCCGCCCCAUCCUGGUCGGGCCGGCUCCAGUGGGACCGGUGAGUGCACC